rfam:Ovis aries breed Texel chromosome 6, whole genome shotgun sequence.
UCCCUGGUGGCUCAGUUGGUAAAGAAUCUGCCUGCAGUGCAGGAGACCCAGGUAUGAUCCCUGGGUUGGGAA